UUGUGAUUGGUUUUGCAGGAGAAAAUUGCAAGGAAACGACUAAUUGAAGAAGAUGAAGAAGAAGAAGAAGAAGAAGAAGAAAAAGUGAACACCUAACUGAGACAAUGACAAGAUUGAUGGAAAGCUAGUAGGGAGACAUGUUUCAUAAGCUCGUUUAAUCAAGGCGAAGGAAGAUCUUCCUGUUAAAAUCAACAGCCUUAGGCUUCCCGUCGAUACCAUCUGCCGCAACCCUAAAGGCUUUGAGUUCGACAAAGAAGUGUGCUCAUGGCAGUGGGGAGUACAGGGCAAGGAAUUGUAGCAGAAAAGGAAAAGCAGACAAGCUGAAGAGGUGGGCAAUUUCAGUGUGGCAAGGUUGCACGCUGAUGGAAACUUAGCAGAUGAGAUACUUGUCAUAUGCCAAAUGAAUUUGUCAUACUGAUACAGUUCUUUUCUUUUUGAACAUAGAGUAUUAAGAAAACAUUCAUUUGGUUGAAAUUUGUGAUGCAAAAUUUAGGGGAAAAUAAGCUUGAAAACAGGAAAUAAUCAUGAACAAGAAAGGAGAAAAGGCGGAUGUUUGCAUCAACAGAGAAGAUGGUGUUCCUAGCUUAAAUAAGAUGAAACUUACUUUGUUUCAGAAGAGGAUUUAUCCACAGUUCUCUAUUUCGACUACUAGGUCAAGAAUCUGUCUGCUGGAGAGAAUAUUUAGGCAAGAUGCAUAUAUAUCAAGGCUGCCUGUUUCUAUCAUACAGGCCCUAGUAUCAACAAGUGGAUGACGUGAUUCAGAAAGCGUUGGAGAAAUUCCCUAAGCCUGAUGAGGUAAUGAAAUUUUUUGGUGCC